UGGUUUUGUAUGUUGUUUUUUUAGACCAGUGGUUCUCAACCUGCCUAAUGCCGCGACCCUUUAAUAUAGUUCCUAAUGUUGUGGUGACCCCCAACCAUAAAAUUAUGGCUCGGUUCCUAAGACCAU